rnacentral:lncRNA from 1 species
CUUACAGGUCCAUGUGGGGAUGCGCGUGGAUAUUUGUCAAAGUAUCUUGACAGAUCAUAUGCAAUGCACAAGGCAGGAACAGUUUUCCCAGACACAUUAAAAAUGUCCACAUUCAAGGGAAAAAAAUCAACUAAUGCACUCACUGCAUCCUUGUUGACUGGUGGCUCAUUACAGAGGCUAAUAAGAGAAAAUACAUUCUCAUAUACUGAUCAUUGGAGCUCAGAGAAUUUGAAGAGAGCCACCUGCUGAGCUUCAUCCUCAGCCAGACGUGCUGACCACUUGGCAUAGGUCUGUGGCAGAGACUGCAGUGCAUUCAUCAGAACCUCAAGUCUUUCCUUCUUGCACAGAGCUCGACUUACAUCCCAGCCUCCCCUGCAAACAGCUGCCAUCCUCCAUUUUCCAUCCAACUGAAGAAAAUGAGGCAUGCUGCUUUCAGAUCCCAGCCAUCAAAUGUCUCCACAUGAACAUGCUCAAUCCCAGUCUCCCUCCCUCCCAACUUCUCUCUCUUCCUGCCUCUCUGUCUCUCUCUUUUACCUGCUUCUUAAAUGUUUUAUUGUUGUUGUUCAGGUGACUCAUUAACUACAUAUAAAACAUAACAGAUUUUUUUAGACUGAAU